rnacentral:rRNA from 1 species
UUGAACGCUGGCGGCAGGCCUAACACAUGCAAGUCGAACGGUAACAGGAAGCAGCUUGCUGCUUCGCUGACGAGUGGCGGACGGGUGAGUAAUGUCUGGGAAACUGCCUGAUGGAGGGGGAUAACUACUGGAAACGGUAGCUAAUACCGCAUAACGUCGCAAGACCAAAGAGGGGGACCUUCGGGCCUCUUGCCAUCGGAUGUGCCCAGAUGGGAUUAGCUAGUAGGUGGGGUAACGGCUCACCUAGGCGACGAUCCCUAGCUGGUCUGAGAGGAUGACCAGCCACACUGGAACUGAGACACGGUCCAGACUCCUACGGGAGGCAGCAGUGGGGAAUAUUGCACAAUGGGCGCAAGCCUGAUGCAGCCAUGCCGCGUGUAUGAAGAAGGCCUUCGGGUUGUAAAGUACUUUCAGCGGGGAGGAAGGGAGUAAAGUUAAUACCUUUACUCAUUGACGUUACCCGCAGAAGAAGCACCGGCUAACUCCGUGCCAGCAGCCGCGGUAAUACGGAGGGUGCAAGCGUUAAUCGGAAUUACUGGGCGUAAAGCGCACGCAGGCGGUUUGUUAAGUCAGAUGUGAAAUCCCCGGGCUCAACCUGGGAACUGCAUCUGAUACUGGCAAGCUUGAGUCUCGUAGAGGGGGGUAGAAUUCCAGGUGUAGCGGUGAAAUGCGUAGAGAUCUGGAGGAAUACCGGUGGCGAAGGCGGCCCCCUGGACGAAGACUGACGCUCAGGUGCGAAAGCGUGGGGAGCAAACAGGAUUAGAUACCCUGGUAGUCCACGCCGUAAACGAUGUCGACUUGGAGGUUGUGCCCUUGAGGCGUGGCUUCCGGAGCUAACGCGUUAAGUCGACCGCCUGGGGAGUACGGCCGCAAGGUUAAAACUCAAAUGAAUUGACGGGGGCCCGCACAAGCGGUGGAGCAUGUGGUUUAAUUCGAUGCAACGCGAAGAACCUUACCUGGUCUUGACAUCCACGGAAGUUUUCAGAGAUGAGAAUGUGCCUUCGGGAACCGUGAGACAGGUGCUGCAUGGCUGUCGUCAGCUCGUGUUGUGAAAUGUUGGGUUAAGUCCCGCAACGAGCGCAACCCUUAUCCUUUGUUGCCAGCGGUCCGGCCGGGAACUCAAAGGAGACUGCCAGUGAUAAACUGGAGGAAGGUGGGGAUGACGUCAAAUCAUCAUGCCCUUUAUGACUUGGGCUACACACGUACUACAAUGGCGUUAAACAAAGAGAAGCAAGACCGCGAGGUGGAGCAAAACUCAGAAACAACGUCCCAGUUCGGACUGCAGGCUGCAACUCGCCUGCACGAAGUCGGAAUUGCUAGUAAUCGUGGAUCAGCAUGCCACGGUGAAUACGUUCCCGGGCCUUGUACACACCGCCCGUCACACCAUGGGAGUGGGUUGCAAAAGAAGUAGGUAGCUUAACCUUCGGGAGGGCGCUUACCACUUUGUGAUUCAUGACUGGGGUG